GACGAACGCUGACGGCGUGCUUAACACAUGCAAGUCGAAGGGGGUGGCGCACGUGUGAGUAACAAGUGAGUAACCUGCCCUUUUCUUUGGGAUAAGCCUGGGAAACUGGUGCUAAUACUUAAUUGCUUUUGAUUGGCUCGUGGCGUAUAAGCUUGUUGGUGGGGUGAUGGCUUCCCAAGGCGUUGACGGGUUGACGGCCUGAGAGGGUGGACGGGCACACUGGGACUGAGAUACGGCCCAGACUCGGACGGGAGGCAGCAGUGGGGGAUAGUGCACAAUGCACGAAAGUCUGAUGCAGCGACGUUGGGUGGGGCAUGAAGGUCUUCGGGUUGUAAACUCCUUUCGCCCGGGGAAUGGUAGUGGGUAAAGAAGCGCCGGCUAACUACGUGCCAGCAGCCGCGGUAAUUC
rnacentral:rRNA from 1 species